rnacentral:misc_RNA from 1 species
AAGGCAUUUCCAUUCCGUGACCAGGUAAAUGUUGACGAAAUUGCUACAAAAGCAGUUGUUACGGUGAAAAUUUGAUAACUUAAGACAGACUCCAAAUGUUGGGCAUUGUUUCCAUGCAAUAUGUGAAAGUAGUGAAAUUUAAUCCAAGUGUAGAAAAUGACAACAAAUUUGGCUUUAUAAGAUUAUCCAGGCUAAUCAAAUUGCUCUUUUAUUAAUGGAAUUAUCCUUGUGCAAUGUAAUGCAGCAUUUCUUUGCAUCUG